rnacentral:tRNA from 1 species
GGGAAGAUAGUUAAAUAUAACAUUUAAAUUGCAAUUAAAAAGUGCUAAUAAGCUCUUCUCA